rnacentral:misc_RNA from 1 species
CACUACGGGCUCACCAUAGCCCGUGCUACUUGCAACUUUUUAUUUCCUAGUAGCUGAAUCUUAAACAACAACAACAACAUGGUGGCGUGCAGCCGCUGAGGGUACCGGUAACUACUGACUUAUGUCUACCGGGAGAUGAGCUCUAGCUCUGCACACCCCCCUGCCUACUUGUACGAUAAAGUGGGGGGUAGGAGGGGAGGAAGUGAGAGUGUUUGGUGGGGGUGUUGGGGGGUGUUCGGUAGUAUUGCAAUAUUAUGCAACACCUGUUGGCAGCUUGUGGGAUGGUGGGGUAGGAGGGCAGCAGUCCUCCCUACCCCUCCUUCCUCCCUCCUUGCUGCCAUCCCUCCCCCCCUCCUCCCUCCUUGCUGCCAUCCCUCCCCCCCUCCUCCCUCCUUGCUGCCAUCCCUCCCCCCUCCUCCCUCCUCUCCCUCCGACCGUAACCUCCUCUCUCUCACUCCAGUUCUGCCAACUCACACCCUCAUCCAAGUCAGACGUUGCCCUAGUGCGCCUCUCACUCUCCCACUCACUCUCUCACGCGCGUGCACUCUCCACUUUACUCACUCCAGCCGCAACACACACUGAGCAAAUAAAGUGGAAUUUGUCACUGAUAAUUGACAAAGGCUUAACGAGUGGCCAUGGCGGUGUGUGGGGCCCCAUGAAGCUGUGUAAAGCUGUGGAGCGGCCUGUGAAGCUUGUACAUGUGGCGGCUGGUGCAGGGAGCAGUGAAGCUGGCUUGUAGUGCCGCCCUGUACACCAGUCUCACCUGUCACUGUGUCGACCUGUCCACCAGUGUCACCUGUCAUUGUGUCAGGUGUGUGGAGGGGGCCACCAUCACCCUACCGGCCACCCAGGUGCGGGGUCCAAGCUGGUGAUGCAUACUCUAUCACUGGUCUCAC